GCAGGGUUACUCAAGCGGUCAACGAGGGCAGACUGUAAAUCUGCUGGCUUCGCCUUCGAAGGUUCGAAUCCUUCACCCUGCACCA
rnacentral:tRNA from 1 species